rnacentral:pre_miRNA from 14 species
AAUCCUGUGUUUUGAGGCCUUAAAGUACUGUAGCAGCACAUCAUGGUUUACAUAAUAUAGUCAAGAUGCGAAUCAUAAUUUGCUGCUCUAGAAAUUUAAGGAAACACACUCAAAACUGGA